GGAGGGUAUAGCUCAGUGGUAGAGCACGUGCUUAGCAUGCACGAGGUCCUGGGUUCAAUCCUCAGUACCUCCA
rnacentral:tRNA from 1 species